CCUCACUUAAAACCAGGUGGGGUGCCUCUGUUACCGCCAUCACCUGGGAAGAAUGGGUCCCCAAGUGCCCGGGAUCCAAACCCAACAUUGUCAAACCCCUUCGAACAAACACCUGCGGGAAUUGAAUCGUGACGGCACCGAUCUGUCCCCUUUUACCAGUAAGCCACCCGGGAUGUCCGGGCAAAGCUCCAAGUAGCAUGAUGCGCUUAACACCGGGCGUACCCCUGACCCCGGCAGGGAAUAUAGCUUUACCAAACCUCCUUUACCAGACACAUUCGUUCUUGAACAACCCUACUGAAUCGUUACCUUAACCGACUAAGGUUAGACAACCGAGUGUAGAACUCCCCAACACCUGCCCGAAGGCACUCACCAGUUCCCCAAUCCAAAUUGCCCCAAGCCUCCGAGAAGGCCACCGCAAGCAAACUCACUGCAAAAGUAGAGUAAUACACCACCAGGCGUUGCGUUACCCAAGGAAACCCGCCGCCCGGCACCGACAUAUUUCAUACCUCUCCGUAAGACCUGCGAUGCCUGACGGACGUGACAACGUUCCGUCACUUGCUCCCAAUCAGUCAGUUUAAACCCUAAGGACAAUGCCACCAUGCUCCUGUCCCUUGCUGAUGGAGCUAACGCUGAACGAACAAACGGCUUAGGAACCACAGCAAGGUAUCCCUUCGACCCUCCUUUGACUGGGCCCCCACAGUGAAACCAACCGCCUUGUCCCACAUAUCUCAAACGUUCACAUAGGCAGUCCCUGUGCCCGGUGCCAUAGGAUUCUGUAUCGAUCCUCCAAGCAUGGCGUCUCGAGCUACCACAUUUCCUCCAGAC